rnacentral:rRNA from 1 species
AUUGAACGCUGGCGGCAUGCCUUACACAUGCAAGUCGAACGGUAACAGGUCUUCGGAUGCUGACGAGUGGCGAACGGGUGAGUAAUACAUCGGAACGUGCCUAGUAGUGGGGGAUAACUACUCGAAAGAGUGGCUAAUACCGCAUGAGAUCUACGGAUGAAAGCAGGGGAUCGCAAGACCUUGUGCUACUAGAGCGGCCGAUGGCAGAUUAGGUAGUUGGUGGGAUAAAAGCUUACCAAGCCGACGAUCUGUAGCUGGUCUGAGAGGACGAUCAGCCACACUGGGACUGAGACACGGCCCAGACUCCUACGGGAGGCAGCAGUGGGGAAUUUUGGACAAUGGGCAAGCCUGAUCCAGCAAUGCCGCGUGCAGGAUGAAGGCCUUCGGGUUGUAAACUGCUUUUGUACGGAACGAAAAGCCCUGGGUUAAUACCCUGGGGUCAUGACGGUACCGUAAGAAUAAGCACCGGCUAACUACGUGCCAGCCGCCGCGGUAAAAC